rnacentral:ncRNA from 2 species
AAAAUACAUCAAGAGAUCCCGCACCAUCUGAUGGUGCGGGACGGCAACCUUAAAGCCUAAGGUGCCAGAUUCCUGAGAGGAAGAUGUGGUCCGCGAAGCUUUAGCGAAGUGGACAAACUUUAAACCUCUC